rnacentral:rRNA from 1 species
GAUGAACGCUGGCGGCGUGCCUAACACAUGCAAGUCGAACGGAGUCCAGCCUUUAAGACCUCCGGGUCAAAGAGGGGAAGACUGAGUGGCGGACGGGUGAGUAACACGUGGGCAACCUGGCUCAUAGAGGGGGAUAACAGAGAGAAAUUUCUGCUAAUACCGCAUAAGCACACACUGCCGCAUGGCAGAGGGUGAAAAGAGAAUCGCUAUGAGAUGGACCCGCGUCUGAUUAGCCAGUUGGCAGGGUAAGAGCCUACCAAAGCGACGAUCAGUAGCCGAUCUGAGAGGAUGAACGGCCACAUUGGGACUGAGACACGGCCCAAACUCCUACGGGAGGCAGCAGUGGGGGAUAUUGCACAAUGGGGGGAACCCUGAUGCAGCGACGCCGCGUGAGUGAAGAAGUAUUUCGGUAUGUAAAGCUCUAUCAGCAGGGAAGAUAAUGACAGUACCUGAAUAAGAAGCCCCGGCUAACUACGUG